AUUUGGAAUGCUUUGGAGAGUAAGUAUAAAGCGGAAGAAGAAGGUACUAAGAAAUUUUUAAUUUCAAAGUACUUUGAUUUUAAGUUUUUAGAUAAUAUUUCCAUUCUUCCCCAAGUACAUGAGUUACAAGUUAUUGUCAACAAAUUAAAAGUGGUAAAGAUUGAAAUUUCGGAGACCUUUCAAGUGGGGGCUAUAAUUGCUAAACUCCCGGGGGCUUGGAAAGGAUACCAGAAGAAAAUAAUGCAUAGUUCCGAAGAUUAUUCUUUGGAACAAUUACAAAAACAUCUUCAGAUUGAAGAAGAAUCCAAAUUGCAUGACAGAAGUGAAAAUUCUUUGGAAGGAACUUAUAAAGCUAAUGCCAUUGAGAAAUCUGAACCACCUACAAAGUCCAACAAAAGGAAGCCUUCAAGGAACUUUAACAAGUCCAAGAAGAAGAUCAAAGGAGGAUGCUUUGUGUGUGGUAAAUUUGGACACUAUGCAAAGGAUUGUAGACACCGGAAAAGAAACAACUCCAAAGGUAAAAUAAACUCCAUUCAAGAAGAAAAGAUUGUGGUCACCGUAAGCAAAAUAAAUGCAAUCAAGGGAAAGGUUCCCGGGUGAAGGUAUGAUACUUGUG
rnacentral:lncRNA from 1 species